rnacentral:lncRNA from 1 species
CUUAUUGCGGGAUGCUUGCAUGAAAUACAGAGAAGCGUUCAUAGAGUGUACUGAACUUGAUCCGUUCAGCUUUACAACGCUCGCUAGCUGUUGUAUGGGGGUCUUCAAGACACGAUAUCUCGCCAGAGACACUCUGGCUCUGACGCAUAAUAAUGCGUACGUCCAGCAGAGUAAGACUUACUCAAACGGUUCGAUCGAAUGGCUGGAAUAUGUAAAAAAGACCCGAAACGUCGACAUUCACCACGCUCUAAACCACGGCGAGAUGCAGAUCGGUCGUUACUUUUUAGACGGCUACUACGAACAGAACGGAUCGAGGUAUGGUUUAGAAUACCUCGGAUGUCUCCAUCAUGGACACGAAUGUCGCUUCGACCCCGAUCAUACGCACCCCUUGUCGCAUGUACCCUACGGCGAACUCAGGAGACAGUCUGACGACAAAGUGGAAAUUCUGCAAAAUGCCUACGGGGUAAAAGUGGAAAUUUUAUGGGAAUGUCAGUGGCUGAAAAUGAAACAGACUGACCCCUCGGUGAAAGAAUUUAUGAGUAUUUAUUCGGCCCCCGAGAGACUGAAACCCCGAGACUCGCUUUUUGGUGGACGCACGAACGCUUAUAAGCUGUACCACAAAACGGUCAAUGGGGAGAAAAUAAGUUAUGUCGAUUUCACCAGCUUAUAUCCGUUCUGCCAGGCCAGGAAAAGCUAUCCGAUCGGUCACCCCGAGAUAAUUUUCAGUGACUUUGAACCGAUUGAGAAUUAUUACGGUCUUAUCAAGGCCACCGUGUACCCUCCACGCAAAUUACUACAUCCGGUUUUACCUUACCGCUGCGGCGGGAAACUAAUGUUCCCGUUAUGCCGAACAUGCGCACGCGCUGAAAACCAGACAACGAGUUGCACGCACACGGACGAGGAGAGGGCUCUCUCAGGGUGCUGGGUCAGCAUCGAACUUUUAAAAGCGAUCGAGAAGGGGUACGUGGUGGCAAAGGUCGACGAAGUGUGGCAUUUCCCAC